GGAGGAGUGCUUGAAGGGCGAAGAUACGAGGGAAGGAAGGGCAGAGGAAGGGAGGGUAAGGGAGGAAAAGGCGAAGGGAAGGGAGGAGGAGUGCUUGAAGGGCGAAGAUACGAGGGAAGGAAGGGAGGGUAAGGGAGGAAAAGGCGAAGGAAAGGGAGGAGGAAUGCUUAAAGGGCGAAGAUACGAGGGAAGGAAGGGCAGAAGAAGGGAAGGGAAGGGAGGAAAAGGCGAAGGUAAGGGAGGAGGAAUGCUUGAAAGGGCGAAGAUACGACGGGGGGAAGAAGGAGGGAAACAGAGGGAGGGAAGGGAGGAGAGUAAAAGGAGAAAGGAGGGGAGGAAGGGUGCUUGAAGGAAAGAGAAAAAGAAUACAAUAAAUAGGUUGAUGAAAUGAAAGCACAGGAAGGAAGAGAGAUCAGAGGAAGCGAGGGACGGAAAAGAAGGAAGGAAAUGAAAGGUAUUACGAAGAAAAUAUGAUUGAUAAAGUUGAAAAGGAAGAAAAGGAGAACAAAAUACUAGAAAUAGCUUGAAGGAAGGAAGGGAAGAUGGAGGGAAGAGAAGGGAAGGAGGUGUGCUUGAAGGAAGGGACUGGAACUGAAGGAGAAGUCGAAGUCGAAGGAGCGGCUUAAAGGAAAGUAUGAAAGAGGGGAAGGAAGGGCGAGGAGGCGGAGGCGGAGGAGGAGGAACGAAUAAACAAUAGAAUGAAAGGUCGUCGAGGGAAAGAAGAUGAAGACGUCCAUGGGGAGAGAGGAAGGAGGAGGAGGAGGAACCGGAGAGAAGGAAGAAAGUGAAAGGAGAUACUCACAAAGGAAGGAUGAUUGGAGGAAAGAAGGAAGUAGCGGGAGCGAAAAGACAAUAGAAUGAAAAGGUCCUCAAGAGGGAGAAGAAGGAAAUAGAAGCGCAUGAACCAAAAAACAAAGGUGAAGAAGCAGGAGAGAAAGAAGAACAUUAAAAUAGAGGAGCGCCAAGAAUGGAUGAUAGGAGGAGGAAAGGAGAAGGAAGAAAAAGGAAUUAGGGAGAGAAGGAGGAAAAAUAGAAUUGAAGGAGACAUGGGGGAGAAGGAGAUAGAAGCGCAUGAACCAAAAAACAAAGAAGGUGAAGAAACUGGAGAGAAAGAAGAACAGUAAAAGAGAGGAGCGCCAAGAAUGGAUGAUUGGAGGAGGAAAGGAGAAAGAAGGAAAGGGAACGAGAGAGAGAAGGAGGAAAAAGGGAAUUGAAGGAGACGUGCAUUAACUACUGACGAAGUGGAAGAAGGAGCAGUAAAAGAAGAAAGUGAAGGAAGUUAAAGAGAAGGAAGAAAAAGGAAACAAAAAUCCUUCUAGAAAUAUAUUGAUGAGAGAAAGCAAUGAGAGAGAGAGAGAAAGCACAAGAAGGAAGAAGGACCGGAGGAAAUGAAGGACGAAAUCAAAGCAGAAAGAAAAAAAUAAGAAAGGGAGGAGAAGAAAGGAAGUUUGAAGGAGUGGAGACGAGAGAGAGGAGAAGGAAGAGAAGGAGGAGUGCUUGAAGAAUUAAGGAGAGGGGAAGAACGGAAAUGAAAGGGAACCGAUGGGUGAGAAAUGGAUGCAAGGAAGAAGGGAUGGAGAGGAAGAACUGGUGCUAGAAAGAAAAAAGAAGAGAGGAGGAGAAGGAGAAAGAACAGGUAAAAUGUUAGAUGUGAGACGCGAGUAUUUUGAGACGGAAAAAGGGAAAGGGAGAAGAAAAGAAAGAGAAGAAGAAAGGUUACGUGAUAGACGGAGGAAGAAGAGGAGGAAGAAAAUAGAAAAGGGAGACAAAAAUGAACAAAGAGGGAAGGAAGAAAGGGAUGUAUAGUUAUCCUAAAAUGAAUAAGGAAAUAAAGGAAACGGGCGAAAAAGAGAAAAAGAGAAAAAAGAAAAAAAAAGAAAA